AUUGAACGCUGGCGGAAUGCUUUACACAUGCAAGUCGAACGGCAGCACGGACUUCGGUCUGGUGGCGAGUGGCGAACGGGUGAGUAAUGUAUCGGAACGUGCCCAGUCGUGGGGGAUAACGUAGUGAAAAUUACGCUAAUACCGCAUACGAUCUAUGGAUGAAAGCGGGGGAUCGCAAGACCUCGCGCGAUUGGAGCGGCCGAUAUCAGAUUAGGUAGUUGGUGGGGUAAAGGCCCACCAAGCCAACGAUCUGUAGCUGGUCUGAGAGGACGACCAGCCACACUGGAACUGAGACACGGUGCAGACUCCUACGGGAGGCAGCAGUGGGGAAUUUUGGACAAUGGGCGAAAGCCUGUUCCAGCCAUUCCGCGUGCAGGAUGAAGGCCCUCGGGUUGUAAACUGCUUUUGUACAGAACGAAAAGGUUUCUACUAAUACUAGGAGCUCAUGACGGUACUGUAAGAAUAAGCACCGGCUAACUACGUGCCAGCCGCCACAGUAA
rnacentral:rRNA from 1 species